GGGGAUAUAGCUCAGUGGUAGAGCGCUUGCUUUGCAUGUAAGAGGUCUCGGGUUCGAAACCCGAUAUCUCCA
rnacentral:tRNA from 1 species